GACGAACGCUGGCGGCGUGCCUAAUACAUGCAAGUAGAACGCACAGUUUAUACCGUAGCUUGCUACACCAUAAACUGUGAGUUGCGAACGGGUGAGUAACGCGUAGGUAACCUGCCUGGUAGCGGGGGAUAACUAUUGGAAACGAUAGCUAAUACCGCAUAAUAUUGAUUAUUGCAUGAUAAUUGAUUGGAAGAUGCUAUUGCAUCACUACCAGAUGGACCUGCGUUGUAUUAGCUAGUAGGUGAGGUAACGGCUCACCUAGGCGACGAUACAUAGCCGACCUGAGAGGGUGAUCGGCCACACUGGGACUGAGACACGGCCCAGACUCCUACGGGAGGCAGCAGUAGGGAAUCUUCGGCAAUGGACGAAAGUCUGACCGAGCAACGCCGCGUGAGUGAAGAAGGUUUUCGGAUCGUAAAGCUCUGUUGUAAGAGAAGAACGGGUGUGAGAGUGGAAAGUUCACACUGUGACGGUAUCUGACCAGAAAGGGACGGCUAACUACGUG
rnacentral:rRNA from 1 species